GGAGAGGUACCGAAGUGGUCAUAACGGAGCCGCCUCGAAAGCGGUUAGUCCCCUUAAGGGACACGUGGGUUCGAAUCCCACCCUCUCCG
rnacentral:tRNA from 1 species